GAUGAACGCUGGCGGCGUGCCUAAUACAUGCAAGUCGAGCGAACGGACGAGAAGCUUGCUUCUCUGAUGUUAGCGGCGGACGGGUGAGUAACACGUGGAUAACCUACCUAUAAGACUGGGAUAACUUCGGGAAACCGUAGCUAAUACCGGAUAAUAUUUUGAACCGCAUGGUUCAAAAGUGAAAGACGGUCUUGCCGUCACUUAUAGAUGGAUCCGCGCUGCAUUAGCUAGUUGGUAAGGUAACGGCUUACCAAGGCAACGAUGCAUAGCCGACCUGAGAGGGUGAUCGGCCACACGGGAACUGAGACGCGGUCCAGACUCCUGCGGGAGGCAGCAGUAGGGAAUCUUCCGCAAUGGGCGAGAGCCUGACGGAGCAACGCCGCGUGAGUGAUGAAGGUCUUCGGAUCGUAAAACUCUGUUAUUAGGGAAGAACAUAUGUGUAAGUAACUGUGCACAUCUUGACGGUACCUAAUCAGAAAGCCACGGCUAACUACGUG
rnacentral:rRNA from 1 species